UACGUAGGGUGCGAGCGUUGUCCGGAAUUAUUGGGCGUAAAGAGCUCGUAGGCGGUCUGUCGCGUCGGCUGUGAAAACACGGGGCUCAACUCCGUGCCUGCAGUCGAUACGGGCAGACUAGAGUUCGGUAGGGGAGACUGGAAUUCCUGGUGUAGCGGUGAAAUGCGCAGAUAUCAGGAGGAACACCGGUGGCGAAGGCGGGUCUCUGGGCCGAAACUGACGCUGAGGUGCGAAAGCGUGGGGAGCAAACAGG
rnacentral:rRNA from 1 species